rfam:Vitis vinifera, whole genome shotgun sequence of line PN40024, unoriented chromosome 15, chr15
AAACUAUGAUGUGGACAAUCCUAUAUUAUCUCCUUGAAUUGCUCCCAUCAUACAUAAAAGUUUUUCCUUUAUUUUGUAGUGAAGCUAGAUAUUAUUCUCUUCAACAU